rnacentral:misc_RNA from 1 species
UUAAGUUCAGCGGGUAGUCUUACUUGAUUUGAGAUCGAGUUUACAAGUUCUGUUACAAACGAGUUUUCCUGCAAUCAGCGUUGGUAGUUCAUUCGACCUUUAUAUUAGCUGAAGCAAAAGUAAUAAUCCGUUUGACGGGACUAAAUAGAUAUGCUUUUAGCUCAGAAGAAUGUCCAGCUGCACCUGCAUUUCAAGCGACC